UACGGAGGAGUCCGAGCGUUAUCCGGAAUUAUUGGGGUUUAAAGGGUAGCGUAGGCGGCCAUUUAAGUCAGCGGUGAAAUUUUGCAGCUUAAACUGUAACAGUGCCGUUGAUACUGUUUGGCUAGGAUUUGGUUGUAGUGUGCGGAAUGUGUGGUGUAGCGGUGAAAUGCUUAGAUAAUCACACAGAACACCGAUUGCGAAGGCAGCACACUUAAGUCAUUAUUGACGCUGAGGCACGAAAAGUAGUGGGGAGUCAAACAAGGAUUAGAUA
rnacentral:rRNA from 1 species